rnacentral:lncRNA from 1 species
UCAUCCAGGUGGGUGUCUGCCACAAGGGAGGCCUCAACAGUGAUGGCUGCAAAUCCUUGGAGGUGGCAUUGCCAAAAGCAGGCAUUAAUAGAUGUAAUGCAAAAAUAGUGUCUUGUGUUCAAAAAAGGUUGGGAAAUACUGAGUGAAAGAACAGUGCCUGCUGCUCGGUCAAUGCCUGAUGAUGGAGUGAACAGAUUUCUGCUUUCUGUGGCCACCUCUGGGCCACAGAAGGCCCAGAGGUUACAAGCAACCUCUGGUCUUUGAAGAAGGAGAAAAAGGUCAGAGAAGUAUGAGAAGGAGCCCCAUUUGGAUGCACCCACUGAGCACUGAAGGGGAGGACUCUUAGGUGGCCCUGUCCUUUGCAAACAGGUUCAGUGGUUCUCCCAUGCUCACCCCAGGGCCCAGAAUCCAUACAUACAUGCAGGAUGGGGCAGGCUGGCUCAGGGUGACACGUCCAGCCUCUGCCCAGCUCCUCUGUUGGAGUCUCUCUGCAGGGAAUUUGGCAGAGCUUGGUCAUUCCUUCACUAAUUCGCCAUUGUAGAAAAGCCACCCAGUUAACAGGUCUGAGUCAUUUCCUCUCAUCCUGGGGACUAGAGGUGACUGCCACUUUGAGGCCAGUUAAGAGUUCUUGCCCCUUCCUGGAAGUCCUGCACUGCUGGGAAGCAGGUGGACACACACUUCCAAGAAUGAAUUCCAAUCGAAUUUUCCCAUUAUUUCUUUCCCCCUAGCAGUGCGAGGCUGGGGCACACAGGGAGAGAAUGUCUCUCUCAGAUGUCAACUCCCGUGGUCUCCACUAGGCCUCGGGGGAAAGAAGGGGAAGGAGAAUGGGGCAUUCCACGAUGGGAAUUCCAGGGAGUAAGAGGCAUUCUGGGAAGGAGGACACUCCUGAUGCAUGCAUGGCCUACUCAGAAGGUCCAGGAUCAUCUCCCCAGCCCAAGCCUUUAAUCACAUCUGUGAAGACCCUCUUCCUAUAGAAGGUGACAUGGUCCCAGGUUCUGAGGAUUAGGAUGCAGACACCUCUGUUCAGCUGACCACAACCACUGAGGAACCCACUGUUGAUCCCCCAUCCAUUCUGAUAAAGGCUUUUAUGAUGUCAGAAA